rnacentral:rRNA from 1 species
CUACGGGGGGCUCCAGUGAGGAAUAUUGCACAAUGGGGGAAACCCUGAUGCAGCAACGCCGCGUGGAGGAUGACGCAUUUCGGUGUGUAAACUCCUUUUAUAUGUCAAGAAAAUGACGGUAGCAUAUGAAUAAGCACCGGCUAACUCCGUGCCAGCAGCCGCGGUAAUACGGAGGGUGCAAGCGUUAUUCGGAAUCACUGGGCGUAAAGGACGCGUAGGCGGGUUAUCAAGUCAGGUGUGAAAUCCUACAGCUUAACUGUAGAACUGCACUUGAAGCUGGUAGCCUAGAGUAUGGAAGGGGGAGAUGGAAUUAGUGGUGUAGGGGUAAAAUCCGUAGAUAUCACUAGGAAUACCGAAAGCGAAGGCGAUCUCCUGGGACAUAACUGACGCUAAGGCGUGAAAGCGUGGGGAGCAAACGGGAUUAGAUACCCGUGUAGUC